UGCCCAGGAACUUCAGGAUCCAGGGGAUGAUUUUAUUGCCUGUGUUUCUGCCUGCUAAAAGGAAACUUAAGCAAGAUAGUAAACUGACAGGAUGCACGUGGAAACCACGGAAGAUAGGGAAUCCCUGUCUGCUACAUGAAUAACACCAUGGCCUAAGGACUGGAAGAUGUGCCACUACCACUGAGUGAUUCUGUUCAAGAUCUUGGUUUUACCCCCAAUUUCAGCUCAUUUGAGUGGUGAUGUUCUUUUGACUGCAUCAGCCUGAUUUUCACCUCCAACUCUGCUUUCUCCUGCCUGUCCUUUCUCAAUCACAGAUCCAUGCUCCCUGGGCUUCGUUUUCCCCUUCAUUUACACCCUUGUGUUGGAGCUUCCCCCACUGGAUCAUGGCAGUCCUGUGUACACAGAAGAACAUGGUAGAAGUGCCAGUGUGCAAUUUCUGGGGCUAGGUUAUGAAGACACUGUCAUUUCCACCUUGCCCUCUCUCUCGAAUUGCUCACUCUGGACAAAGCCAGCUGAAAUGUUGCAAAAACAUUACAGCAUCCUCUGGAGAUACCCAUGUUGACCCAGGAGAAACUGAGGUCUCCUUACAAAAGCCAGCACCCACUUGCCAGUCAUAUGAGUGAAUUAUCUUGACAAUGGGUCCUCUGGCCCCAGUCAAGCCUUCAUAUGUUGCAGCCCCAGCUGACAUCUUGACUGUAAUCUCAGGAGGGAUCCUCACCCCAAAAAACCCAAUGAAACAAUCCCUGAAUUUCAUACCUAGACAUUUUAUGAGAUGAUAAAUGUCUAUUACUGUCUUAAGCCUCUAAGUUGUGGGGUAAUUUGUUAUGAAAAAUAGGUAGCUAAUAUACUAUGUUGAUAGUAUGGGGGAGCUCCUUAUAAGCCUUAAUUUCCUUAUAUGCAAGAUGAGAAUAAUUAAUUGCACUUACUUCACUUACUUCAGAGUGUUGUUAAGAGGAUGCACAGAGUUAAUAUAUGCAUAGCAAUUAUGAAAUUUUCUUGCACAGUAAAUGCUCAGUAUAUAGUAAUACUGUUAUUGAUAAUAAAUAUUUUUAUCCUAUUGUGCAUAUAACACUAUUCUCCUGAAGUACUUUAAGGAGCCAACCUUCUGUUUAUAUCAAAUUAUGUCUAUAAUAGAAGGAACAUGAAUCACAAAGGACAUGACACUGCCUGAUUCAGUAAUAAUCUGGAUCCUAAGGAUCAGAGACCUCCUGGACCAAGGAACUCUGAGAAGAAGUAAUUUAAGAGGCAAAAUGCUCAACUCUUCUUUGACUUGUUAACGUACCUGUAUAAUUGAUACCCUGUUUAUUGCUUUCUAUAAAAAGCUAGAGUUAAAUUUUAGUUGUGCCCAUUAUUAAAGAUAAAGACUGUCCUGUUUAUUAAAAAAUGAGUGAAGACUGUGGGGGUAUUUCUGCUGUCUAUAGUUCUUUAAAUCAAAGCUCUCUGGAUUAAUCCCCAAGCAGAUGAAGGUCUGGGGCAGCCCAGCCCAGGUGCUAAGUGUUCUUCAGGCUGAAAGAAUUGUAGAGAGCAGAAAUAGCCCACAGUCUUCACUUCCUUUUUAAUGAAAAGGACAGUCUUUUUGUUUAACAAUGGGCACAGCAAAAAUUUAACCCUAGCUUUUUACACAGAGCAAUAGCAAAGCACAACAUUUAACUAGCAUUCAUUUGGAACUCCUCUCUGCAGGAUAAUCUGUAAUUGAGCUGAUUAGCAAGAAGUGUUUGAAGAGCUUUUUUUGUCAACUUAGCUUGUGCAGAUACCCAGCUGGCUCCUAGGUGCAGUUUAUCUGUGGCUGCCCUUCAGAAGUGCAGUGUUAAUUAUUUUAUUAGCUCCUGCCCUUAGAAUUCCUUGAGAAUUUAAGAGCUAUUAAGAUAUCUUUCACUGUUGAAGCUCUUACCUCUCCUACUUGGUGUGGACAAGUACUACAGAAUGGAGAGAUGGAAAAAAGAUGUUAAUUAAUUAAUUAGCUGGGCAUGGUAAUGCGUGCUUGUAGUUUCAGCUAUUCAGGGGGCCGAGGCAGGAGGACCCCUUGAGCCCAGGAGUCUGAGGCUGCAAUGUGCUCUGAUCUUGCCACUGCACUCCAGUUUGGGUGAUAGAGUGAAACUCUAUCACUAAAAGGUAAAAAUUUUAAAAAUCAAGAAUGGAGAAGUGGACUUUCACCUUCAUCUCUUAAAAACUGAACAUCUGAAGACUUCCUCCUUAUUUCUCAAAUGCAUCCCUCUUCCCUCAUAAACUUUUAACUCCUUAGAACACACACAACUGGAACAUACUUGGUGUUAUGAACAUGUUGUUAUGUUGAUAACACAAAUUCAUAAAUAGCUCCUUCAGAGUAGAAUAGAAGCCUCUGCUCAUCAUUGACUGGUUCAUGAGGAGGAGGGUGGUGGGGAAGAAGAGGCAGAUAAAUCCCUAAGAUUCUUGGUCCCUGGUGGUGGACUGUUCCUUGCAGACCCGGAGCCUGGCAUUUCAUCAAGAAGCAUAACAUAGCCAGUGCUUUGGGGUUUUGUGACCCAUCUGCCUUUCAUACCACCUCUUAUUGCCCCUUGUCACAAGAAAUAGAAAAUGGAACAUGAUUAAAUGUCACUAUCCUUAUAGGUACCAUGCAAGGAAAAUCAACUGAGGUGUCAGGUCAUCCAUGCUUUUGUGUCAGCUCUACCUCUAAUUAGCCAGUCAUGUUGGGCAAGUCAUUUGUCUCAUCUCUGGGGUAUCUUGUUGUUCUUAACCUAAAAAAAGGAAACAUCUACCUAGCGCAAUUUCCAGGCUUCUGGUUUGAGUCACAGGAAGGGAAAAAGCACUCAAAUUUGAAUGCCACUAUGUGCCAGGCUUUUUAUAGACAUGAUUUUAUGUAAUCUGUAUGCAACCCAUGAGAUAAGUGUUUAGUCACUUUUUUUAUAAAUGAGAAAGCAAAGUUCAGAGUCCAGUCACCUGACUCGACCCCUCCCACUCCAGACCACACGCUCCUACCUCUCAUCCAACCACCAAUGGCAAGAAUGCUUUGCCAUGCCUAUGUCCUGAAUGGUAUUGCCUAGGUUUUCUUCUAGGGUUUUUAUGGUUUUAGGUCUAACAUUUAAGUCUUUAAUCCAUCUUGAAUUAAUUUCUGUAUAAGGUGUAAGGAAGGGAUCCAGUUUCAGCUUUCUACGUGGAUGAAACUGGAAACCAUCAUUCUCAGCAAACUAUCGCAAGGACAAAAAACCAAACACCGCAUGUUCUCACUCAUAGGUGGGAAUUGAACAAUGAGAACACAUGGACACAGGAAGGGGAACGUCACACACUGGAGAUUAUUG
rnacentral:lncRNA from 10 species